rnacentral:lncRNA from 1 species
GACAUUCAUUCUGAUUUCUUUAAUUCCAAACACAAAAAUUCAUUUAACCCUCUUAAUUAAAUUUAGCAACGUUUAGGAACGUGGCUGUGGCUGUGUUUUUAAAAAAUUUAAUUUUUUUAUUUUACUAAAAUUUAAUAUGGUUUGUAUGUUUUAGAUCGUUUUGAUGUACUGAUGUCAAAAAUAAUUUUUAAAAAAUAAAAAAAUAUCAUUAGCAUGCAUUUUGGCACGAAAAGUUAUUUAAAAAGCACCCAUAAUUACACUACCAAACACACUUUUAAUUUGCAGGAUUUCAAAUAGAAUUGUAAGAAAUACUUGCAAGUUAUAGCACAUAAAAAAAUACAAACCAUCAAGACAUGGAAUUUUUUUACCACUUGUCAUCUAUAGUGGCAUUCUAAGGCCUUUAUAAUACGA